rnacentral:rRNA from 1 species
CCGGAGCUAACGCGUUAAAUCGACCGCCUGGGGAGUACGGCCGCAAGGUUAAAACUCAAAUGAAUUGACGGGGGCCCGCACAAGCGGUGGAGCAUGUGGUUUAAUUCGAUGCAACGCGAAGAACCUUACCUACUCUUGACAUCCAGAGAAUUUAGCAGAGAUGCUUUAGUGCCUUCGGGAACUCUGAGACAGGUGCUGCAUGGCUGUCGUCAGCUCGUGUUGUGAAAUGUUGGGUUAAGUCCCGCAACGAGCGCAACCCUUAUCCUUUGUUGCCAGCACAUUAUGGUGGGAACUCAAAGGAGACUGCCGGUGAUAAACCGGAGGAAGGUGGGGAUGACGUCAAGUCAUCAUGGCCCUUACGAGUAGGGCUACACACGUGCUACAAUGGCGUAUACAAAGAGAAGCGACCUCGCGAGAGCAAGCGGAACUCAUAAAGUACGUCGUAGUCCGGAUUGGAGUCUGCAACUCGACUCCAUGAAGUCGGAAUCGCUAGUAAUCGUAGAUCAGAAUGCUACGGUGAAUACGUUCCCGGGCCUUGUACGCACCGCCCGUCACACCACGGGAGUGGGUUGCAAAAGAAGUAGGUAGCUUAACCUUCGGGAGGGCGCUUACCACUUUGUGAUUCAUGACUGGGGUGAAGUCGUAACAAGGUAACCA